AUACUCUUAUGCCCGUUUUCACCAACAACCUCUUACCGUUUCCCUAUCUAAAUGCUACUUUUAAUAAGGACCCCUCCCAAUUUGACACCUACCUAAAUUCAUUUUCACCACACUUGUACAUGGAUCCCUUAAGUAAGUGACAGAUUACUAGUUCUACAAACGAUAAUGCAAAGUCGAUAUUUUAUCGAUAAAAUGAUUUUUCUGUACUUCUUAAGAAAUAAACGUCUAUCGAGUAUAUAUUACUAAAGCCUGUGAGUUUUUUUUCUUGUGAUGUUAUUUUAAUUUAACUUAAACUCCAUUACGCUAUGUUUUAUGCAAUAAAACAGUAAAGAGGUUUUCUAUAGGUGAAUUUUUACCUAUGUCAUUCGCGCGUUUGUCAAAUUGACUGAUGUGUAUGUGUACAUAGAGUGAGGUUAAUUUUGGGUUUAUUAUUGUUGAAUAGAUAAGUUUAUUUUGGCAGAGAAGAGAAAACGAGGAUAAACCUUUCUUACAGAAGAAAAAGACAAGCUAGUGAAAUUGCUGACGUCUCAUAGAGACACAAUAUUAAACAAAAAACGGAUGGGACCACGAACGAAGCCAAAAACAAAGCUUGGAUCCAGUCACAAAUAGUUUUAAUGCGACAGGAACCCUUUACAGUUUCAGGUGGUGCGAGAAAUUGGAAAGACGUGUAAAAACAUGCUGCGCCCAGCCCACCUCAAAUUGAAUUGGUGCAGGAGGAUGAUGAUAAUGUUUGGUACAUCAUAUGAGGACUAAUAUUAAAAUAUUUGUUUAC